rnacentral:lncRNA from 1 species
UUUACUGUUGCAUCCUUAGGAAGUUGAAAAUUGCAUAAAAUAUAUAGAUAAUUGAGAUGUGAUUUCUCCAGCAAAUCUUACAGCUUUUGUGUGUUUAACUGCAGCACUUUUACUCAGGAGAGGCCAUCUGAGGAUCAGCACCACUGGACAGUGAUUUCUCCUGCUUAAGAGUUUCUUUUGUGACUAUGUCUCAAGCUCAUCUGGGUCUGAUAUCAUGUGUCCAACAGAGCUCUACAUCCCAGGCUGAAAAAUAUCCUUGAAAACCCAUUCAGGAACUGCUGAACCCAAGUGUUUUCUGAAGCCUGUUUCUUUUGCUGAACAGCCAGCAGGUCUGCUCUGUGGAAAAUGUGCUGCUGCAAUUUUCUGGUUGGUGUAGAAAAUUUCACCUCUAUCAAGUAAUCCUCACUGCCUGGUUCACUACCAAAAUUUAAUGGAUCCUACUCAGCAGAGUAGCUGUUGGAUCACCAAUUCUUCUGGAUGUCAGAAGCAUGGCCAAGUCUUCCUCUACAAAAUGGUUGGAAGAUAAGAGUGUACAUCCUUCGGAGAAAAUGGGACUUAAGGCUAUGCAUGCCCUCACUCAAAAAGCCUGGAUUUAAUUCCAAAGCUGUAUUUGCAUUCUAGAGCACAUCUGCGCACUACGUGCAAUAAUAACGUGAUAUUGGUAGGAAAGAGGGACACAUCAUUUCAACUAAACCCAUGGUGGUGAUAAAAGGUGAAUGGUAUUGAAAGCAUUUUUUAAUAAAUGCCACAGCAAACCUUGGCAGCAAAAACUGCUCAGAACAAUAUGUGAAUGUAUCCCUGGAGGAAACACUCAAAACUGCUCCAGAACAUGGCAUUUUUUUCCUGGCAAAAAGAGCCUUGGCCAAGGCGUUUCUCUGAGCCCUGGUUCCCACCCUCUCCUCACCCAGAGGAGCGGAAAGGCUGCCAGCUCCGACAGCAGCAGCGCGGCAUCCGUGUGUCUGGGCUCCACGGCAGUGGGCACGGCAGACACCGGGGGCUCUUCCUGCCAAGCAGAGGUGACAGGGAAAUAGGAUCCAGUGCCUACGCUUCCCCAGCCUACGUGGGGAGCUCUGUGCCAUCCCCUCCUGCCGAGCCCGGCUGGAAUGGAAGUCCCGGGAAGUGUACAGGAGUAUACAGGAGUGUACAGGAUUGUGCAAUAGUGUACAGGAGUGUACAGUUGUGUGCAAUAGUGUACAGGUGUGUGCAGGAGUGUGCAAUAGUGUACAGG